rnacentral:rRNA from 1 species
AGAGUUUGAUCAUGGCUCAGGAUGAACGCUAGCGGCAGGCCUAAUACAUGCAAGUCAAGGGGGUCGCAAGACCACCGGCGGACGGGUGCGUAACGCGUACACAACAUGCCCUCAAGCGGGGGAUAGCUCUGGAAACUGGUGGUAAUACCCCAUGAGGUUGCGGGGAGGCAUUUUCCUGCGAUCAAAGUUUCGGCGCUUGGGGAUUGGUGUGCGUCCGAUUAGCUUGUUGGCGGGGUAACGGCCCACCAAGGCAUCGAUCGGUAGGGGGUGUGAGAGCAUGGCCCCCCACAUGGGUACUGAGACACGGACCCAACUCCUACGGGAGGCAGCAGUAAGGAAUAUUGGACAAUGGGCGGAAGCCUGAUCCAGCCAUGCCGCGUGAAGGACGAAGGCGCUCAGCGUUGUAAACUUCUUUUGGAUGGGGACAAUAACCGAGACUUGUCUUGGCUUGAGGGUACCAUCAGAAUAGCACCUGAUUGCCUC